rnacentral:tRNA from 1 species
GGUCGCUUAGCUCAGUCGGUUAGAGCGUGGUGCUAAUAAUGAGAUUGAUCUCAGGAUAACGCCAAGGUCGCGAGUUCGACCCUCGUAGGGACCA